rnacentral:rRNA from 1 species
CCUACGGGUGGCAGCAGUGGGGAAUAUUGCACAAUGGGCGCAAGCCUGAUGCAGCCAUGCCGCGUGUGUGAAGAAGGCCUUCGGGUUGUAAAGCACUUUCAGCGGGGAGGAAGGCGUUAAGGUUAAUAACCUUGGCGAUUGACGUUACCCGCAGAAGAAGCACCGGCUAACUCCGUGCCAGCAGCCGCGGCAAUACGGAGGGUGCAAGCGUUAAUCGGAAUUACUGGGCGUAAAGCGCACGCAGGCGGUCUGUCAAGUCGGAUGUGAAAUCCCCGGGCUCAACCUGGGAACUGCAUUCGAAACUGGCAGGCUAGAGUCUUGUAGAGGGGGGUAGAAUUCCAGGUGUAGCGGUGAAAUGCGUAGAGAUCUGGAGGAAUACCGGUGACGAAGGCGGCCCCCUGGACAAAGACUGACGCUCAGGUGCGAAAGCGUGGGGAGCAAACAGGAUUAGAUACCCUAGUAGUC